UACGUAGGGGGCUAGCGUUGUCCGGAAUCAUUGGGCGUAAAGAGCGCGUAGGCGGCCCGGUAAGUCCGCUGUAAAAGUCAAAGGCUCAACCUUUGAAGGUCAGUGGAAACUGCCGGGCUAGAGUCCGGAAGAGGCGAGUGGAAUUCCUGGUGUAGCGGUGGAAUGCGCAGAUAUCAGGAGGAACACCAACGGCGAAGGCAGCUCGCUAGGACGGUACUGACGCUGAGGCGCGAAAGCGUGGGGAGCGAACAGG
rnacentral:rRNA from 1 species